rnacentral:rRNA from 1 species
CCUACGGGAGGCAGCAGUGAGGAAUAUUGGUCAAUGGGCGCGAGCCUGAUCCAGCGAAGCAGCGUGAAGGAUGACGGCCCUACGGGUUGUAAACUUCUUUUAUAAAGGAAUAAAGUGAGGCACGUGUGCAUUAUUGUAUGUACUUUAUGAAUAAGGAUAGGAUAACUCUGGGUCAGCAGCCGGGGUAAUACGGAGGAUCCGGGCGUUAUCCGGAUUUAUUGGGUUUAAAGGGAGCGUAGAUGGGUUGUUAAGUCAGUUGUGAAAGUUUGCGGCUCAACCGUAAAAUUGCAAUUGAUACUGGCAGUCUUGAGUACAGUUGAGGUAAGCGGAAUUCGUGGUGUAGCGGUGAAAUGCUUAGAUAUCACGAAGAACUCCGAUUGCGAAGGCAGCUUACUAAACUGUCACUGACAUUGAUGCUCGAAAGUGUGGGUAUCAAACAGGAUUAGAUACCCGAGUAGUC